GAAUUUGAGCCCAGCAUUUUGCCACUGUAUACCUACAGGACACAGGAUUGUUGGAGGAAAUCUUCAAUAAAAGCAAAACAGCUGUAAGAAAUUUGUUCAGAAAAAAAACCCUGUAAGUAUUGUGACAGAGAAGUGUAACGUAACAGACAGAUCGCCCUUGCUGAUUGCUAAGUAAAGGAGGAGGAUUGGGAAUAUACAAGUUAAAGACCUGGAACAUGCUCCCUAAACAGCAUUGUGAGUAUACCUACACAAAAUGGACUGCAGUGGUUCAAGAAGGCAGCUCACCUUCACAAGGGAAAUUAAGGACUGGCAAUAAGUGCUGGAUCGGCCAGCAAAACCCACAUUCUCUGAAUGAAUAAUCAUAAUAAAGUACAACAAAGGAAUGUCCCA